rnacentral:sRNA from 1 species
GUAUAUUUAUUAAAUUAAAUCUUUAUUCUUUUUUUUUCAAACAAUACAUUGUUAGUUGCUCUGAUCGAUUAAACAAACUAUAGGUCAAAGAAGAAAAAUGAAAUAUGAUAAACCUACAUGAUGAAUAUUUUCUUUGUUUUAAGAUAUUUUGAUGUUUUGAUUUAAAAAAAAAUAUUUAUGUAGAUAUAAACGUAGAAAAUGAGCAUACUGGUAAUUUGCUCUCAUUAUUUUAGAGAUCUUCAUUGAAUUCUGUCCUGUCUCUUUUUAUGAUGUUAAAAUAGUUGCUUUACAUAACUUCAUAUUUUCAUAAAAUACUUUUGACACAUUUUUUAAAUUAUAGUUUUGCACAAUUGAUAUUGAAUUUUCUGUUAUUGUAUAUCCAUAUCAUGUAUUUUUCUCAUGCAAAAAGUUAAAAAAUAUUAUUAUUUAAUCGAUACCAAAAUUUACUUAAUAUAGUACAUUAUAUUACAUGGAUUAUGAUUUUUUAAUAUAAAAUUGCCCUUGUAUUGAU